AAGAAGAAGAAGCUGAAGCAGCUGAUGUGUUUGUACUAAAGUGAAUCGUCUGUCUUUAAUAAUGCAGUCAGCAGAAGAGAGACACGUCGCUCCUGUAGAUCUACAACAUGAAGGAUUCCAGAUAAAAAUAAUAAAGAAGGAGGAAGAUGAUGAUGGAAGUUACUUCUGUGGAGGAUCUUUAAUCCCUGUGGACCAACAGUGUGGAGGUUUCCAGAUGAAGCCUGUGAAGAAGGAAGAACCUGAAGAUAAAGAUG